GGGCUUGAAAUGACUGGUGUAAUUACUGUGGAAGUAGACUUAAAAUCCUUGCCGCUUGCGGAGUGCCAGUUCGAGUCUGGCCGAGGGCACCA
rnacentral:tRNA from 1 species